UGGGAUAGCUCAGUUGGUAGAGCAUGGGACUCUUAAUCACAGGGCUGUGGAUCUGAGCCCCACAUGGGGCAAAA